rnacentral:lncRNA from 1 species
UUUCCUUUAUUCUUCAUUGAGGAACCAUUCUUGGGCCCCUUUAAGACCCAACACUUGACCAUUGGGCUUGAAAGGCACCCGGCCCACAUCAAAAUUAGGAGGCCAAGCAUGCUUGGACUGGGUUGAGCCCACUCCCAUCUUUAUGGCCUACCUGCCAUCAACAAGGCCCACACCUUCGUGUCAGCUUAGCGACAGCCCGCACGCAGCCCC